rnacentral:tRNA from 1 species
GCGCUUGUAGCUCAGAAUGGAAGAGCAAUGGAUUUUUAAUCCAUGGGCCGCGAGUUCAAAUCUCGCCGGGCGCA